GAGUGGGGCUUCUUAGAUAAGUAACAUAUAUUUUAGUUUCUCUAAAGUUUGAUUAGUUAUUUAUUUAAUUUCAAAGUUAUUUACUAUUUUCAGAACUUCACUUAUAAGUUAAUUUCUUUUUAAACAAACUUAAAAUUACUAAAAUAAAUAUCAUUUUAAUAAAUAAUACCAAUAAUAGGAUUAAUUUUGAAAAUUUAACAAGUUAAGUAUUAAUAAAUAAUUUUUAAAAAAAAAUCAAAAACCAAAAACCAGAAUCUAGAAUCACCAUUC
rnacentral:lncRNA from 1 species